rnacentral:rRNA from 1 species
AAUAUUGGACAAUGGGGGAAACCCUGACCAAGCAAGGCCGCUGGUGUGAAGAAGGUCUUCGGAUUGUAAAGCAUUUAAGGUUGGGAGAAAGGGCGGUAAGUAAAUACCUUGCGGUUUUGACGUUACGGACAGAAUAAGCACAAGCAAACUUCGUGCUAGCAGCCGCGGUAAUACGAAGGGUGCAAGCGUUAAUCGGAAUUACUGGGGGUAAAGCGCGCGUAGGUGGUUUGUUAAGUUGGAAGUGAAAGCCCCGGGCUCAACCUGGGAACUGCUUUCAUAACUGCUGAGCUAGAGUACGGUAGAGGGUAGUGGAAUUUCCAGUGUAGCGGUGAAAUGCGUAGAUAUAGGAAGGAACACCAGUGGCGAAGGCGACUACCUGGACUGAUACUGACACUGAGGUGCGAAAGCGUGGGGAGCAAAC